UAACUCUGGUUUUCCUUCAAAACGUAUAAUUCUUUCGCCUUUUACUAAAGAUUUCCGUGGAGGGGAACACUUAAAGGAGUAUUAUUCAAUUUUUGACAGUCUUGUUUACUUAUAGCAAGG